UACGGCGAGUGAAGCGGCAAAAGCUCAAAUUUGAAAUCUGCGUAAGCCGAGUUGUAAUUUGAAGAUGGCUACUUUGGUAAUGGCUCUUGUCUAUGUUCCUUGGAACAGGACGUCACAGAGGGUGAGAAUCCCGUGCGAUGAGAUGUCCAUUACCGUGUAAAGUGCUUUCGAAGAGUCGAGUUGUUUGGGAAUGCAGCUCUAAGUGGGUGGUAAAUUCCAUCUAAAGCUAAAUAUUGGCGAGAGACCGAUAGCGAACAAGUACAGUGAUGGAAAGAUGAAAAGAACUUUGAAAAGAGAGUGAAAAAGUACGUGAAAUUGUUGAAAGGGAAGGGCUUGAGAUCAGACUUGGUAUUUUGUAUGGCUUGCUUUCGGGCGGGUCCUCUGCAGUUUACUGGGCCAGCAUCGGUUUGGGUGGCAGGAUAAUAGCAUAGGAAUGUGGCUCUACUUCGGUGGAGUGUUAUAGCCUUUGUUGAUACUGCCUGCCUAGACCGAGGACUGCGUCUUUUGACUAGGAUGCUGGCAUAAUGAUCCUAAGCCGCCCGUCUGA
rnacentral:rRNA from 1 species